rnacentral:rRNA from 1 species
AUUGAACGCUGGCGGCAGGCCUAACACAUGCAAGUCGAGCGGAUGAAGGGAGCUUGCUCCUGGAUUCAGCGGCGGACGGGUGAGUAAUGCCUAGGAAUCUGCCUGGUAGUGGGGGAUAACGUCCGGAAACGGGCGCUAAUACCGCAUACGUCCUGAGGGAGAAAGUGGGGGAUCUUCGGACCUCACGCUAUCAGAUGAGCCUAGGUCGGAUUAGCUAGUUGGUGGGGUAAAGGCCUACCAAGGCGACGAUCCGUAACUGGUCUGAGAGGAUGAUCAGUCACACUGGAACUGAGACACGGUCCAGACUCCUACGGGAGGCAGCAGUGGGGAAUAUUGGACAAUGGGCGAAAGCCUGAUCCAGCCAUGCCGCGUGUGUGAAGAAGGUCUUCGGAUUGUAAAGCACUUUAAGUUGGGAGGAAGGGCAGUAAGUUAAUACCUUGCUGUUUUGACGUUACCAACAGAAUAUGCACCGGCUAACUUCGU